GUAGUUUUUUAAUUGAAAACUGGAAUGAAAGGUUGGACGAAAUAUAAGCUGUUUCAUAAAAAUUAUAAUAAAACUUUACUUUUUAGUUAAAAGGCUAAAAUUGAAUUUAAAGACGAGAAGACCCUAUAGAAUUUUAUAAUUUUAAAAAUUUAAAUUUAUAAGAAUUUUUAGGUUUAAAUUAGUAAAAUUAUUUUGUUGGGGUGACAAUAAAAUUUAAUAAUCUUUUAUUGUAAUUUUAACAAUUAUUCAUGAUUAAUUGAUCCAUUUUUAGUGAUUUAAGAUUAAAUUACCUUAGGGAUAACAGCGUAAUUUUUUUGGAGAGUUCUUAUCAAUAAAAAAUUUUGC
rnacentral:rRNA from 1 species